rnacentral:rRNA from 1 species
AGAGUUUGAUCAUGGCUCAGAUUGAACGCUGGCGGCAGGCCUAACACAUGCAAGUCGAACGGUAACAGGAAGUGCUUGCACUUCGCUGACGAGUGGCGGACGGGUGAGUAAUGCUUGGGAACUUGCCUUUGCGAGGGGGAUAACAGUUGGAAACGACUGCUAAUACCGCAUAAUGUCUACGGACCAAACGGGGCUUCGGCUCCGGCGCAAAGAGAGGCCCAAGUGAGAUUAGCUAGUUGGUAAGGUAAAGGCUUACCAAGGCAACGAUCUCUAGCUGUUCUGAGAAGAAGAUCAGCCACACUGGAAACUGAGACACGGUCCAGACUCCUACGGGAGGCAGCAGUGGGGAAUAUUGCACAAUGGGGGAAACCCUGAUGCAGCCAUGCCGCGUGUGUGAAGAAAGCCUUCGGGUUGUAAAGCACUUUCAGUUGUGAGG